AAACUUAACAGCAAUGAUAACAAUAUUUCAUUUCAUUCUGUUUUGAAUGCAACAUUUAGCACAGGUUAUCACUUAUUCCUGUGUUGCUUCUACAUCCUGAAUGUGUGUUUAAGAAAAGAACCGUUGUCUUUCUUACCUUCACUGGCGGUGUACAUCCCCAACAGAAACAGAAGUGGUGCAAACCGAAACACACUUCUACACAUACUGUUUUUUCUUCAGACCCCAACGUUAAAGAAAAAUAUCAGCUCAGACUUACAACAGAACAAAGUCAAACUAAGGCAAACCCAACCUCUAACAGGUUUUAUACUGUUAAAACUCUGAGCUGAGAGCAGGAACUGAUGUUGUAUACUGCAAUGCAUUCUAGUUUCUAUUUGUUACUUUCAUAACAUCAGAACAUCUCUGUGUCUCUGCAAUGGACCCACCACCACACACAAUGUAAUCAUCAAACACUAGGCCACAGCUCCAUUUCCUGCUAUAAAAAAU
rnacentral:lncRNA from 1 species